rnacentral:tRNA from 2 species
CGGCGUGUAUUUCAAUCUGGUAGAAUUCAUGCUUUGGGAGCAUGAGGUUGCAAGUUCAAAUCUUGCCACGCCGACCA